AUAAGCCCGCUUAACUGCGAGAAUGACGGUUCGAGCAGGUGCGAAAGCAGGUCAUAGUGAUCCGGUGGUUCUGUAUGGAAGGGCCAUCGCUCAACGGAUAAAAGGUACUCCGGGGAUAACAGGCUGAUACCGCCCAAGAGUUCAUAUCGACGGCGGUGUUUGGCACCUCGAUGUCGGCUCAUCACAUCCUGGGGCUGAAGUCGGUCCCAAGGGUAUGGCUGUUCGCCAUU
rnacentral:rRNA from 1 species